CGCCGAGGCCGAACCCGGAUCGAUCUGGCGCACUGGUCAAUCUCGUGCCCUCCAAGGACGCCGCACGCGAGGACAGCAACUCGAGGAACCCUACCGUGCACUCUUCCCCACCCUUCCUCGUCCGCACGAGCCGCUGGGGCAAAACGAAUCUCGCCCAGAGCUCCGCCGUCCGCCGCCAUUCGCUGGAAGAUUGCACCGCCCGGAGUGAGAGGAACGACCCGCCCGACUUCGCCGGAGCAUGUCGUGUUUCCGUCGCCGCCGUCGCCUGCAGAGGACGAACCAGUCCCCGUUUUCACCACCACCGCCUCCGCCACUCACCUCCUCACCCGUCCGUCACCUCGCCUUCACCGGAGACCCACCGGAGAAGCGCCGCCGCCAACGCCCGAGACCGCCGCCGCCGUCCUCUGUUCUCUGAUUGUCCGGAGUGCGACGCGAGCUAUUGUCAGGAGUGUGACUUUCUGAACUAGAACCAAG